rnacentral:tRNA from 1 species
UGUAUGUAGGGGUUGAGGGACUCAUAGGUGAUUUGAAAUCAUUUAGUUCGUGGUAACAGGCGAUGCAUGCUG